AACGACUCUCGGCAACGGAUAUCUCGGCUCUUGCAUCGAUGAAGAACGUAGCGAAAUGCGAUACUUGGUGUGAAUUGCAGAAUCCCGUGAACCAUCGAGUUUUUGAACGCAAGUUGCGCCCGAUACCUUUAGGUUGAGGGCACGUCUGCCUGGGC
rnacentral:rRNA from 1 species